rnacentral:lncRNA from 1 species
GUUUCCUGUUUUCCAGCACCCAACAUAACUUGUAAGGAUUCCAGUGGCAAUGAAACACAUUUUACUGGGAACGAAGUUGGUUUUUUCAAGCCCAUAUCUUGCCGAAAUGUAAAUGGCUAUUCCUACAAAGUGGCAGUCGCAUUGUCUCUUUUUCUUGGAUGGUUGGGAGCAGAUCGAUUUUACCUUGGAUACCCUGCUUUGGGUUUGUUAAAGUUUUGCACUGUAGGGUUUUGUGGAAUUGGGAGCCUAAUUGAUUUCAUUCUUAUUUCAAUGCAGAGACAGGGUCUUGCUCUGUUGCCCAGGCUGGAGUGCAGUGGCGUGAUCAUAACUCAUUGCAGCCUCGAAUUCCUGGGUUCAAACAAUCUUCCUGCCUCAGCCUCCCAUCCAGUAUGGGAUAUUUUAAAAGAUUGUUGGACCUUCAGAUGGAAGUAGUUACAUUAUAGAUUACUAUGGAACCAGACUUACAAGACUGAGUAUUACUAAUGAAACAUUUAGAAAAACGCAAUUAUAUCCAUAAAUAUUUUUUAAAAGAAACAGAUUUGAGCCUCCUUGAUUUUAAUAGAGAACUUCUAGUGUAUGGAUUUAAAGAUUUCUCUUUUUCAUUCAUAUACCAUUUUAUGAGUUCUGUAUAAUUUUUUGUGGUUUUUGUUUUGUUGAGUUAAAGUAUAUUAUUGUGAGAUUUAUUUAAUAGGACUUCCUUUGAAAGCUGUAUAAUAGUGUUUCUCGGGCUUCUGUCUCUAUGAGAGAUAGCUUAUUACUCUGAUACUCUUUAAUCUUUUACAAAGGCAAGUUGCCACUUGUCAUUUUUGUUUCUGAAAAAUAAAAGUAUAACUUAUUC